CACGGCUCUAACAUCUGUAUCACCAUUGUUGUCCCUAGACAAAUGGAGGGAACUUGGGGUAACCCGUAUUAUCGAUAUAUGCCACCAGGGGGCUAUACUACCCUUCCCAGAACUUCAAAAAACAUAUAAACUACCACCAUCCUAUAUCUUCCCGUAUCUCCAACUAAAAAGCUUAAUUGCUAAUAUGGUAGCACCUCCAACAUCACACAUAUACUCCACAUACCAUGACUUAUUAUCACUGUACGAUAGGUGCCACAAAUCACCGAUCAGACCUAAGAUGCUCUCACUGAGCUACACAGCUCUAAGAAAUCAGACACCACACCCAGAGUUCAAAUACCGAUCGCAAUGGGAAAAAGAAUGCACAAUAUCCUUCACAGACAAGCAAUGGACAGGAUCGCUCCAAUCCCUUAAAGGAAUCACCACGUGUUAUUCACAUGUCGAAGCACAUAAAAAACUACUCUACAGGUGGUACUACACACCUGACAAACUCCACAGAAUUUAUCCCCACACCUCGGCCGACUGUUGGAGAUGUGAGACGGAACGAGGCACAAUGACCCACAUAUGGUGGAACUGUCCGAAUAUUACACCCCUAUGGACGGAAGUCCACAAGACAUGGCAAGACUUAGGGAUCAAACAACUACCACUCACACCCCAACUGGCUCUCUUUCUCCAGUUCCCCAGUUCAAUACCUUACACGGACAAACACUUUACAGUGAUAAUGAUCCUAGCAACCCGCAACCUCAUAGCGUGCCACUGAAAAAAAACAGAAUGCCCCACCACCACAAUGCUACAACACAAAAUUAGACAAUACCUCCGAUAUGAUUUGCUCACAGCUACCACUCACAAACAGGUUUCUACCACACUCCUUAACUGGCAAAGGUGGACAGACUGGGUAGCUCUUAAGGGGAUCGCAGACAAGACCCCAAGUACUACUAUAGAUUGAUACUAUAGAUUGAUACCAAUGAUUACAGGCUAUUGACAGUCAGAACACUCGAGGCUCGUCAAUAGGUCCCCAAUACAACACAAGGCAACAGAAUAGGGCAAAAUGUAAUAAAAAAAAA